AGUGCGGAAUACGCCAAAAUCCCAAAGAACAAGAAGAAGAAGCAUCUCAGAGGCUGCGUUACACUUUGGCGUUAACACAUGCGAUAUUGUCAACUUGUGGGACACAAACCUGCCUGAUACCUUGCUGAAGUGGCUGGGCACUUCUACACUUCUUCCUUACUUCUACAGCACUUCUCAAAAUCAACCUGAAGAUUCAACCAAAGAUUCAUUCAGCAAGUGCAUAAUGCCACGAUCAAAGGAAAUUCCAGAAGAUGUAAAAGAAAAGAUAAUUUUUUACCAUAAGUCUGGUAAGGGUUACAAAGCUAUUUCUAAAAUUAUGGGACUGCAUCGAUCCACUGUCAGAACUAUAAUUUCCAAAUGGAAAACAUUUGGAACAGUGAUGAAUCUUCCCAGGAGUGGUCGACCCACAAAAAUUUCACCACGGACACAGCGGAAAAUCAUCCAGGAAGUCACAAAGAAACCCGAAAUAACGUCCAAAGAACUGCAGGCUUCUCUUGCUUUAGUUAAAAUCAAAGUUCAUGACUCUACAAUCAGACGGAGACUGGGCCAAAUUAGGAAACGCGAGAUAGUGUCAAAACGAAAAACACUGCAGAAAAAGAAAAUAAAUGCUUGUCUUGUUUGAAAAUAAUCUACAGGAAGAUUC